UUCCGAGCCAGGUGGCGCUUCGGCUUUCCGUGCUUAUGUUUUCAAUUAUCCUCCGAAGCGGCGGCGGGCAGCUGAAGGAGAUGAUGGGCUGUCAAGAGAAUUCUGAUGGAAACAGGAGUGGACAAUGCCGGUGUUCACUGAUUUGUCCCACAUCCGGAACUGCAAUCAAGUCUUGUGAAUGUGAAAACGAGUAAAAGAUGCAAUCCUAUUUACCGAAGCGGCAGCAACAACACCUGUUGGUAUCUGCCUUGGAUCCAAAUCGAUCUUA